rnacentral:lncRNA from 1 species
UCCAAUGGCAGGCAGGAAAUCUUGUAGUAGGUGAUCGUGGCCUUCCUUGGGAUCCCUGUUUCCCCCUUUUAUUCCCUUUUCACCCAGUAAAACCCUGCUUUGCUCACUCUUUAAAGCAUCUGUGAGCGUAAAUUUUUGUGGCCAUGGGAUGGACAAGAACCACAUGUUUACCUGAAGUCCUGUGACAUUUUGGUGUGCAGCAUGGGAGCUCCAAAAGUGAUGCAGGCCGCUCCCCAUCUUCUGGCCAUGUUAACACCUUUGGACCUAUGGCUGUUUAUCUCCAUUAGAUUACAUAAAAUGAGUCUCAUUGUGUUGCUCAGGCUGGAAUCCAGUGGCAUGAUCUCGGCUCAGUGCAACCUCCGCCUCCUGGGUUCAAGCAGUUCUCCUAGAUCAGCAUCAGCGUCCCGAGUAGCUGGGAUUACAGGCACCCGCCACCAUGCCUGGCUAAUGUUGGUCAGGCUGGCUCGAACUCCUGACCUCAAGAGAUCCACCUGCUUUGGCCUCCCAAAGUGCUCGGAUUACAGGCAUGAGCUGCCACACCCAGCCUCCAAAUACUUUUUUUUUAAAUCAAAAUAAUGAUUUCAAUGACUGAGAUCUGUUAUGUAUUUCAACAUAAUCAUGUUUCAUAAAGAUUUAGUCUUCUGAAA